rnacentral:misc_RNA from 1 species
AAUUCUCAAACUGAGAUGCUUUUUUGUUUCUCUGCUUGGUGUUGGGCUUUGCAGUCCCCUUUGAUUGGGAUGGCUGGCCUCAAAAGCAUUAGCUGGCUUUUCAUGUGGCAUUGGUUCUACUCAGCGUGAUAAUGAUCUGACCGCCGAGGACAUCUUUCGAGAUGGCCAAUUCUCAUUUGGGCUGCUUCUAAUCUUGGUCGAGCAGAUUCUGAAUCUGUUCCACUUUUCAAC